AUGGGGAUGAGGGAACGAAUGCACCCAAAUGUUGAUUCCUGCAUGCAGACCCUGAUCCAAUCCAUCCCCUCACCCCCAUCUCCCCUCUGUCCCGCAGGGCUCCGGGCGGCCGUGACCCUGCUGGAGUGCGGGGGGGACCUCCAGCCCCCCGGGGGGUCCCUGCGCCUCCUCUGCCGAGGGGCCGGGUUCAGUUUUGGCAGUUUUGGGAUGGGCUGGGUCCGCCAGAGACCCGGGCAGGCGCUGGAAUGGGUCGCAGGCAUUGACAACGAUGGAUACACCAGAUACCCGUCUGCGUUCAAGGGCCGGUUCACGAUCUCCAGGGACAACGGGCAGAGCUCGGUGACGCUGACCAUGAACAACCUCAAGGACGAGGAUUCCGCCGUUUAUUUCUGCGGGAAAUCUGUUUAUAAUAUUUGGGCUUAUGCUGCUUAUGAUUUUGGCCCUGGCCCCGUCCCUGUGUCCUCACUUGUCCCAGUAUUCCAGACCUUUCCCUCAAACCCCAGCCCCUGA